rfam:Lysobacter sp. A03 NODE_4, whole genome shotgun sequence.
CCCAUCCCGAACUCGGAAGUGAAACGCACAUGCGCCGAUGGUAGUGUGGCUUAAGCCAUGCAAGAGUAGGUCAUCGCUGGGC